rnacentral:piRNA from 1 species
GAAGUGGUUCUGGGCAGCAGUGA